rnacentral:rRNA from 1 species
CGGAGGAUCCAAGCGUUAUCCGGAAUCAUUGGGUUUAAAGGGUCCGUAGGCGGUUUAAUAAGUCAGUGGUGAAAGCCCAUCGCUCAACGGUGGAACGGCCAUUGAUACUGUUAAACUUGAAUUAUUAGGAAGUAACUAGAAUAUGUAGUGUAGCGGUGAAAUGCUUAGAGAUUACAUGGAAUACCAAUUGCGAAGGCAGGUUACUACUAAUGGAUUGACGCUGAUGGACGAAAGCGUGGGUAGCGAACAGGAUU